GGUGGCUCAGUGGUAGAGUGCUUGCCUCGCAUGCAUGAGGCUCUGGGUUCCAUUCCUCAGCACCA
rnacentral:tRNA from 1 species